CAACAGGCUCUCGUGGAGUAAAAGAAAUGGCAUAAGUAUGAGGACCCUGCGCUUGAGCUGAAGUAGGCACACGACCUCCAUUUACUGUCACUUCUAAAUUUCCUGGGCCUGCCUGGCUGGUUUCCACUGAAAGAUGGCAGCAGUCCGAACAAUCAAGUCAAAAGCCCGCCAACUUAGAACUCUUGCACAGUAAAAAGAAAAUUAUUUAAUAUUAUAUUUCAUAAUGAUUAACAAUAUUUUAAUUAUUUAAUUAAAAUAUUAUUAAUAUUUAAAAUGUUAUUGUAUUACAAUGUAAGAUUUGUAAGAGAAAAAUAACCUCACUUUUUAAGAGCACACUCAUACUUUCAAAACUUCUUUAUUAUUCAAACAUUCCAAUUCCACUUGUUUAUUUAUUGAAUAAAAUCAAAUUAAAGUUGCAAAUUUUUUCUCUUUAUUCUAUUGAAAUCAUUUCAAAUUACUUGUGUGUAACUACAUAACGUGAGGAGAGCUUUUACACCAAUGAACUCAACAGUCGAACGUCAACACAACUUGUUGAAUGUGGUUGACUUCAAAUGAGUACAUAAAAAACGAUUGCAGAAAAGAGUGUGAAAAGGCCAACGUUAGACCACAUUCCGAUUUAGAAUUCUACUAAAUAUAGGUAUUUCACUGUUUAAAAAGAGGAUAAUUCAUCAGUCAGCUAUGUGCAGUGCUAAAAUUUAUCUUGUGGCUGAGUAACUCUAGAUCGUGCAUCUAGAAUGGUUUGACCUGCAACAUUUAAUCCACCUCAGGCGCCAACAGUUUCCUUAGUUGCGUUUAUUGAACGUUUGUGUAUUUUAGAUAAGAACUCUAUGAAGAUACGUCAAUAUUUAAUUUAUUUAAAGGUG